GACGUAGGGUGCAAGCGUUUGUCCGGAUUUAUUGGGCGUAAAGAGCUCGUAGGCGGCUUGUUGCGUCGACUGUGAAACCCGCGGCUUAACCGCGGGCUUGCAGUUGAUACGGGCAGGCUAGAGUUCGGUAGGGGAGACUGGAAUUCCUGGUGUAGCGGUGAAAUGCGCAGAUAUCAGGAGGAACACCGAUGGCGAAGGCAGGUCUCUGGGCAUUAACUGACGCUGAGGAGCGAAAGCAUGGGGAGCGAACAGG
rnacentral:rRNA from 1 species